rnacentral:rRNA from 1 species
UACGUAGGGUGCAAGCGUUGUCCGGAAUUAUUGGGCGUAAAGAGCUCGUAGGCGGUUUGUCGCGUCGAAUGUGAAAACCCGGGGCUCAACCCCGGGCCUGCAUUCGAUACGGGCAGACUAGAGUUCGGUAGGGGAGUCUGGAAUUCCUGGUGUAGCGGUGAAAAUGCGCAGAUAUCAGGAGGAACACCGGUGGCGAAAGGCGGGACUCUGGGCCGAUACUGACGCUGAGGAGCGAAAGCGUGGGGGAGCAAAACAGG